UGUCGGGUUGAUAACUAGGCGGUGGUUUCAAAAUUCCUCGACGACCUUUGCCCUUUAAGUGCCCGAGAGAUUGAAAGUCAUCGCGCGGUUGAUCUUACACAUUUGCUUUCUUUUGUCCAUGUCUGUUUAUGUUUAUUCGAUCGCGACAUCC
rnacentral:snoRNA from 1 species